rnacentral:rRNA from 1 species
GACAGAGGGUGCAAGCGUUGUUCGGAAUUACUGGGCGUAAAGCGUGUGUAGGCGGCCAUGUAAGUCGGAUGUGAAAGCCCCGGGCUCAACCCGGGAAGUGCACUCGAUACUGCGUGGCUUGAGUACCGGAGAGGUUGGUGGAAUUCUCGGUGUAGAGGUGAAAUUCGUAGAUAUCGAGAGGAACACCGGUGGCGAAGGCGGCCAACUGGACGGAUACUGACGCUGAGACGCGAAAGCGUGGGGAGCAAACAGG